CGGCCCAAACUCCUACGGGAGGCAGCAGUAGGGUAUUUUCGGCAAUGGACGAAAGUCUGACCGAGCAACGCCGCGUGAGUGAAGAAGGUUUUUCGGAUCGUAAAACUCUGUUGUUAGAGAAGAACAAGGAUGAGAGUAACUGUUCAUCCCUUGACGGUAUCUAACCAGAAAGCCACGGCUAACUACGUGCCAGCAGCCGCGGUAAUACGUAGGUGGCAAGCGUUGUCCGGAUUUAUUGGGCGUAAAGCGAGCGCAGGCGGUUUCUUAAGUCUGAUGUGAAAGCCCCCGGCUCAACCGGGGAGGGUGAUUGGAAACUGGGAGACUUGAGUGCAGAAGAGGAGAGUGGAAUUCCAUGUGUAGCGGUGAAAUGCGUAGAUAUAUGGAGGAACACCAGUGGCGAAGGCGGCUCUCUGGUCUGUAACUGACGCUGAGGCUCGAAAGCGUGGGGAGCAAACAGGAUUAGAUACCCUGGUAGUCCACGCCGUAAACGAUGAGUGCUAAGUGUUGGAGGGUUUCCGCCCUUCAGUGCUGCAGCUAACGCAUUAAGCACUCCGCCUGGGGAGUACGACCGCAAGGUUGAAACUCAAAGGAAUUGACGGGGGCCCGCACAAGCGGUGGAGCAUGUGGUUUAAUUCGAAGCAACGCGAAGAACCUUACCAGGUCUUGACAUCCUUUGACCACUCUAGAGAUAGAGCUUCCCCUUCGGGGGCAAAGUGACAGGUGGUGCAUG
rnacentral:rRNA from 1 species